rnacentral:lncRNA from 1 species
GUUUAUCCUAGUAAGUGUUAGUUUGGAAGUACUGCACAUACUUCUAUUGGCUUUUAAAUUAAGCAUGGUGCUUAGGUUAAACAGCCUUCCUUAAUCUGAUUAGACAUGGAGUCUAGUUCGGUUAUUGAACUAAAAACUGCUUGUGUAGACAUUGGUAUAUUUUGUCGGACUAACCCCUGCAGAAAAACUUUCAAUAUCAAUUUGGGAAGUCCUGAGAUACAAACUCACAUUGGAGAUAAAGGAGACACAUGAAAUUUAACGACUUGC